GCUGGGCACGGUGGCGCACGCCUGUAGUGCCAGCUACUCGGGAGGCUGAGACAGGAGGAUCACUUGAGUCCAGGAGUUCUGGGCUGUAGUGCGCUAUGCCAAUCGGGUGUCCGCACUAAUUUUGGCAUCAAUAUGGUGACCUCCCGGGAGCGGGGAGCCACCAGGUUGCCUACGGAGGGGUGAACCGGCCCAGGUCAAAAACGGAGCAGGUCAAAACUCCCGUGCUGAUCAGAUAUGCAUGUAGGAAAAGCACCAAUACACAUAAAAUAAUAAAGGCAUUUAAAAAAUAGAUGUUACCUU
ensembl:misc_RNA Metazoa_SRP Metazoan signal recognition particle RNA